rnacentral:lncRNA from 10 species
GAAAACAGGCUUGAGCCACGCAGAGACUUGACCAAGCUCACACAGUUCCUUAGUGGCAGAGCAGAGCAAAUAUUCUCUUUCUUUUACAUUCUGGAUUUCCAUAUCUUCUCUCCCUCCUGGUCCAGCCCAACCUCAGGGCACCCCCCACGAGGUGGGCGGGGGAUGGCUUUGUCACUUGCACCCACUCGGGGUGCUACUCAGAGAUCUUGGGUGCACAUAGGACGUGGGUGGGCCGAGCUUCUAGCUACUCCGUCAGGCCCUUCCUGUCAUUCUGUCUCUGCCUCCCUUCUCCCUGCUUCUCCGUGUUCCUCCUCAU